GACUCUGACCUAUAGGUAUUCACCCCGAAAAUCAGCCGCAUCAAUCCCCACCAGUCUUGUCAUUCGCGAAGAUCAAGAAUACUGAGCCUUCUCCUGUAAGUAAUUUGUUAAAUUAAUGUUUUCUCUCGCCGAAGCACGAACACAUAUACACUAUUUGCCAUGUUUAUUUCUAACUAUCAAUUGCUAAAGAAAAUCGUACAAUGUUAGUGACACAAUCGAUGGCACCGAGCCUUAUGAGAUUUCGCAUUCGUUUUGGCUUCUUAAACGAUAUGGGCGCCUAUUCCACAUAUUUUCAAUCCAUAAAUGUACUCCAGAUAUCUCAAACCAAUCUUUCUCAUAAACUUGAACAAAAACACAUGGCUGUCACUUUAUAUUUGGCUUUGUUUUUCAUUCAAAAAUAAACUAUUGGUUUUAAUUUGGUUCCGUCUAAGAGGCGGCUUAAUAUAAUAGUGAACUCAAUUUUUUUUCCAUUAGAAUAGCUAUUUUAUUUUAACAGUUGAUGUCAGCAGUUUUAUUGAUAAACAUAUAAAAAAGGCACCUGGGGUUUCAUUCAUAUAACUACUCUGACACUGGAUAGUGGUAUUGCUUCUUCAAUCUAAUGAUAUAUCGGUAGGAAUUUAUAAUUAUUUCAUCAAAGUCUACUGAGAGUUUCUGUGCAAUCUGUCUUCUGCUACAAUUUCAAUUCUUUCCUAAAUCGAAAAACACUUGUUUUCUUUUUGUGUUUUUCUCCACUUGAGUGUUUGAGUACGUAUAUGUGUUUACCCACUUAAAUGUACGUGUUUUUGCCUUCGUAAUCGUGUUUUUCCCACUUAAGUGUAUGUGUGUUUGCCUACUUAAGUGUAUGUUUUUGCCCAAAUUAUUAAGUAUAUAUUAAGUGUUUACUUACUGAUAUGUAUGUGUCCUUUCCCACUUAAGUAUAUAUGUAUUUGCCCACCUAAGUGCAUAUGUGUUUGCCUACUUAAAUGUAUGCAUUUUUGCCCACUUAAGUAUAUGUGUGUUUUCCCACUUAAGUGCAUGUGCGUUCGCCUACUUGAGUGUAUGCAUUUUAGCCCAAUUAAGUAUAUGUAUGUUUGCCCACUUAACUGUAUGUGUUUUUCUCAGGUAAUUGUAUGUUUUUGCCCACUUAAGUGUAUGUGUGUUCGCCCACUUAAGUGUGUGUUCGCCCACUUAAGUGCAUGUGUGUUCGCCCACUUAAGUGUAUGCGUGUUUGCCCACCUAAGUGUGCGUAUGUUUGCCUUUAAGUGUACGUGUUUUAGCACACCUUAGUGUAUGUGUAUUCGCCCACUUAAGUGUAUGAUAUAGUUUGGUUAAUUAUAUAACUAUUUUGUCGAUUUCAUUAAUCGAAUCUUCUAUAUGUCUGAUUCAGGGAAGCGAAGAUGCACUUUUUUUUAUUUUUUCGCUGCCUCACUGUAAAUUGAAAAUCACAAAUACAUUAAUUUUCAGUUUCAAAGUAACGUUACAUUUCAUUCUUUUUGCUGUUAGAGCCCAGGAGAUAAAAUAUUUUCAGUGAUAAUAGUACAGACACAAACUGUAUGUCGGUAGCCAGCCGGAAAAGAUGUUUUCCUGGGGCUAAACAAUAGUAACAUCGUCCUGUGUAGGACUGCCACAUCCUGUUGGCAAAUAAACUUUACUGUUCAGUACUGUUACUGCAUAUCUUUCGCUCAGAGAUUUAAAAUUAGUUGUUUUUCUCUUUAUGAGAUCAGCAACUGUCUGUCGUUUUGAAAAGUAUAUAGUAUGAGCAAGUCGAAUAAGCCUUCAUCACCAGUCUGCGAUUGUCUCACACCAAGGACGAGAAACAACCCAGAAACCUACGUCUGUGAGUAUCACAAAGGCUAGAGCUGGGAGCGAUAACCUCCCUUGCUCAUACGUGUGUGGGUAGCCAGCUGGAAAAGAUGUUUUCCUGGGGCUAAAACGUAGUAACAUCAUCCUGUGUAGGACUGCUACAUUCUGUUGGCAAAUAAACUUUACUAUUUAGAAAUUGAAUAUGAUUAAAGCUAGAAGGCUACGGCUAUAAUUGACAGUUUUGUAGCUGAGUGCGUGGAACUAGUGUAUCAUUGAUUGAUUGUUUGCAUCACAAAUGCAAAUGCCGGAGAUAAACGCUAAGUACAAUUUAUACAAAAUGUUCUCCUGUGUUUUACUAAAUAUUAUUCAGAAUGUAUAUUAUAGGUAUUAAGACAUUUCUGGAAAAGUCAUCAAAAGUGUUUUAUUUAGUUGUUUUGUAGAAAGUAUAUUAUCGUAUUUUUAAUAUAGCACUCACGUCUGUAGUUCACUUAUCAGUCAGAGCAUCCCUUUGACAGCUAUCAAUUUGAACAGCCCCAAUACAGUUUAUCAAAUGUGCGAGGGUGGGUGGAUCCAUACGCUAUGUAUAGGACUAAGAUCGACUCGUAGUCAGGUCGACUUGCACGCCGCAUCUUACGGAAUAUACAUAUAAAGACAUAUGCAUAUAUACAUAAUAUACAUAUGUACGCACAAAUAGGUAUGUAUACCAACACACAUGCAC
rnacentral:lncRNA from 1 species